rnacentral:lncRNA from 1 species
AGCCUCAAGGCUUAAUACAAUGUCUUUCACAAUGUUUUGUGUUCAUUCUUUUACAAAGAGGACCAAUCAUUUCAUGGAGUGGUAUCUUGACAUGAACUUGAAUUGGAUUUAAGUAUGGCAGUUUGCCUCAGCCUCACCUGUCACCUUAGCAAUUUCAGAGGGAAGAGGAUAAGGAAGAAUGAUAUCCAACAUCCUAACCACAAAGACAAUAUUAACUUAAGAUGAAUAAAAAAGGGGGAUUUGUAAACAUGAAAAUAUUGUAAAACAUAUAAUUUAAUUGUUCCUAUUUAUUGUAUAUGGCCCAAGGAA